GAUGAAGAACGUAUCGAAAUGCGAUAGGUAGUGUGAAUUGCAGAUGUAACGUGAAUCAUCGAAUCUUUGAACGCAAAUUGCACUCUCUGGUAUUCCGGGGAGUAUGCCUGUUUGAGGGUCGCCAAAUCAAAAUCGAAAUUCAUUUGCUUUUUUGUAAAUGUUUAUCGGAUUUGAGCCGUCUUUUUUUAUUUUAAUUAAAGUGGCUUAAAAUGUAUUUUUUUGGUAUCGAAAUACGUUAUUUUACGAUCAAAUUGAUUAAAAAAACAAACGUUUUCGAAUGCCGCCUUUUUAAUGUAAUACGUUUGACUGUGAUGGUUAAUCAUAGUUUCAUUCGUAUACGAUUUUUUAAUUUUUGACCUCAAAUCAGGUAAGAACACCCGCUGAACUUAAGCAUAUCAAUAAGCGGAGGA
rnacentral:misc_RNA from 1 species